AAUCAACGCUGGCGGCGUGCCUCAGACAUGCAAGUCGAACGCGAAAGUUCCCUUCGGGGAACAAGUAGAGUGGCGCACGGGUGAGUAACACGUAGGUAAUCUACCUUUGGAUGGGGAAUAACACCGAGAAAUCGGUGCUAAUACCGCAUAAUGCAGCGGCAUCAUAAGAUGACAGUUGUUAAAGAUGUAUCGCUUGAGGAGGAGCUUGCGGCAGAUUAGCUAAUAGGUAAGGUAACGGCUUACCAAGGCUACGGUCUGUAACCGGUCUUAGAGGACAGUCGGUCACACUGACACUGAAUAACGGGUCAGGCUCCUACGGGAGGCAGCAGUCGGGAAUUUUGGGCAAUGGGCGAAAGCCUGACCCAGCAACGCCGCGUGAAGGAUGAAGUAUUUCGGUAUGUAAACUUCGAAAGAAUAGGAAGAAUUAAUGACGGUACUAUUUAUAAGGUCCGGCUAACUACGUGCCAGCAGCCGCCGUAA
rnacentral:rRNA from 1 species